rnacentral:rRNA from 1 species
UAAGCAUGAAGCCCCCCUCAAGAUGAGAUUUCCCAUAGCGUCAAGCUAGUAAGAACCCUGAAAGAUGAUCAGGUUGAUAGGUCAGAGGUGGAAGCGCGGUAACGUGUGGAGCUGACUGAUACUAAUCGUUCGAGGACUUAACCA